rnacentral:rRNA from 1 species
CACGUAGGAGGCGAGCGUUGUCCGGAAUCAUUGGGCGUAAAGAGCGCGCAGGCGGCUUGGCAAGUCGGGUGUGAAAGCCCUCAGCUCAACUGAGGAAGUGCGCCCGAAACUGCAGAGCUUGAGUACCGGAGAGGAUGGCGGAAUUCCCCAAGUAGAGGUGAAAUUCGUAGAUAUGGGGAGGAACACCGGUGGCGAAGGCGGCCAUCUGGACGGAUACUGACGCUGAGACGCGAAAGCGUGGGGAGCAAACAGG